UUGAUGAUAGGGGCUUCGUCACCGAAUAGUGGAAGGCAAUCACGAUCGGGGUUUUCAUCGGAAUCUAGUACAAAGGAGACUGAUGGAGAUCCUAAUACUAAUGGAGUGACAUCUCGAGUUACCAGACCAAGGAAGACCGGAAUAGCGGCGCAGGUAGUUAUCAGAUUCCUUACUAGAUUUUGGUAACGUAGAUUCCUUUGUAGAUUUUGUGUCGUUAUUCGUGUAAAUGAAUUUCUUGAUGGGUUUGUGGUGGAAACAGAGGGAACGGACCACAAACAUGAAGCUCAGAGACUUAAUGGACUACUUCCACCUACCUAUAAAACGCGCUUCCCAGGAGCUCAGAUUGUGUUCGACCUCUCUCAAAAGUAUCUGCAGGAAGUACGGAUUGUCCCGGUGGCCCAGCCGCAAGAUAAGAAGUAUCGACAGGCAGAUAGAGAGUCUGGAGAGAGAACUGCAAAGCCGAAGGGGAGGCGCAGGAAGUUUAGCCAUUAGAGAAGAGAUAGAGAAGCUUAAAGAAAAGAGAGCGAGGUUGUGUACCGGCCUGUCGACUUAGAUCGAAUACGUCUUCAGCGUCGGUUAUAAGGAUUGCUUUGAUUUGGUCAUCAAUGGAAGCCAAAAAAAUCUCUCUGCGUCAGCAUUGCUCUACCCAUAUAUCCGUGAGAGUGCUUCAUCUAGUUUCAGUGUAAUUGAAAUAAACAUCAAGUGGAAGUCCGUCAGUCUGUGUUUAAUCCUUUUGCGUUCGCUUGAGUGGAAGUCAAAUGAUUUUAAUAAGGAUGCGGAAUUUAUGAUCUCUAAAUAAAUUAUGCAUUUAACCAAAAAAUUAGAGAAGAAACCAAGCAAGCCAGAAGCUUUGAGGUUACUUGUUACUAUAGUAUAGCCGGUUACCAUGAUGACCUGACGCUUCUUCAAGUUUCUAAUACAUUUUAUACAGGUUUUGGAUAAUGUUCACAAACGGAUAUACGUAAAGGAAAGAGUUCACAAAGGAACCUGACCUGAUGACUAAAUCGAAAAAUUAAUUUGCUCAAAAAAUUUACAAAAUCAAUCACGAUAAUCACGGAGAUAAAUAGCCAGCAAGAUGCUUUACAGUAUUAAUUCCGGGUUAUUUAGGAUUAUUACAAUCAAAGUGUCUGUGUGUGUGUGUGUAUUUGGUAGUGUAUUUAGGACUGUUGCAUUUCUCUUGGGGUUACUUUAGGUCGCUAAAAUCAGUUACACACAACACCUAAUCAAUAAAAACUCAUGAUACAAUAACAGUUUUACCAAAUUACCAUGUCCCCAUGAUGCACCGCGCUGCCAUUCGACAUACAUUUACACAGCUCCUAAUCAAUAAAAACUCAUGAUACAAUAACAAUUCAAAUAAAUUACCACGUCCACGAGAUGCACCACGCUUGCCUUACAUUUUAGCUGUCCUCAUGGUUAUGAUUUAAUUUUAAAAGUUAGAAUAAACCAAUUACGUUGUACAGUACAAUUAGCUGUUCUCAUGUA